CUAGGAGAACUUAUGAAUCAUAAAAAAAUAUAAACACGAGAUUGGACCUCCAAGAGAUAGUGAGGAGUUGUGAUGGUACGUGUGGGAGGUAAAUAACCAAUAUAUUCAAGGUUAGUAGUAUAACUAGUUUAAACAACUUCCUAAUAAAUCCAUCCUCCAUUUGGAGACAGAAAAGAGAUGAUCCACUUUGGAAGCAUCUUCCUUUCCUCAUUCAGGAAAGACAUUAAAUUUUUCCUAAG
rnacentral:lncRNA from 1 species